GACUGCAUGAACAGGUCCAGGAAGGCCGGCACCCGGAUCUGAGGGGACACAUGGUAUCAUUGGAAAGGAACGCACGGAAGAGAUGUCAGACUUACUGAAGUGAAGUGAUAGAGACCUUUACCAAAAACCAAAUACGAGCUUGCAGAAGAAACAGACCACCUCCCAACCAACCCAAAAUAACUCUCGUUCUUCAGCACCUUCACCUUUUCUGUGACUCUAGUACUCUGCC